rnacentral:rRNA from 1 species
UACGUAGGGGGCAAGCGUUGUCCGGAAUCAUUGGGCGUAAAGAGCGUGUAGGCGGCCCGAUAAGUCCGCUGUGAAAGUCCAGGGCUCAACCCUGGAAUGCCAGUGGAAACUGUCGGGCUGGAGUCCGGAAGAGGCGAGUGGAAUUCCUGGUGUAGCGGUGAAAUGCGCAGAUAUCAGGAGGAACACCAAUGGCGAAGGCAGCUCGCUGGGACGGUACUGACGCUGAGACCCGAAAGCCAGGGUAGCGAACCGG